rnacentral:rRNA from 1 species
CGUAGGUGGCAAGCGUUGUCCGGAUUUACUGGGCGUAAAGGAUGCGUAGGCGGACAUUUAAGUCAGAUGUGAAAUACCCGAGCUUAACUUGGGUGCUGCAUUUGAAACUGGGUGUCUAGAGUGCAGGAGAGGUAAGUGGAAUUCCUAGUGUAGCGGUGAAAUGCGUAGAGAUUAGGAAGAACACCAGUGGCGAAGGCGACUUACUGGACUGUAACUGACGCUGAGGCAUGAAAGCGUGGGGAGCAAACAGG